AUGAACGCUGGCGGCGUGCCUCAUCCAUGCCAGUCGAGCGAACAGAUGAGGAGCUUGCUCCUCUGACGUUAGCGGCGGACGGGUGAGUAACACGUGGAUAACCUACCUAUAAGACUGGGAUAACUUCGGGAAACCGGAGCUAAUACCGGAUAAUAUAUUGAACCGCAUGGUUCAAUAGUGAAAGACGGUUUUGCUGUCACUUAUAGAUGGAUCCGCGCCGCAUUAGCUAGUUGGUAAGGUAACGGCUUACCAAGGCGACGAUGCGUAGCCGACCUGAGAGGGUGAUCGGCCACACUGGAACUGAGACACGGUCCAGACUCCUACGGGAGGCAGCAGUAGGGAAUCUUCCGCAAUGGGCGAAAGCCUGACGGAGCAACGCCGCGUGAGUGAUGAAGGUCUUCGGAUCGUAAAACUCUGUUAUUAGGGAAGAACAAAUGUGUAAGUAACUAUGCACGUCUUGACGGUACCUAAUCAGAAAGCCACGGCUAACUACGUG
rnacentral:rRNA from 1 species